UACGUAGGGGGCAAGCGUUGUCCGGAAUCAUUGGGCGUAAAGAGCGUGUAGGCGGCUCGGUAAGUCCGCUGUGAAAGUCCAGGGCUCAACCCUGGAAUGCCGGUGGAAACUGUCGAGCUAGAGUCCGGAAGAGGCGAGUGGAAUUCCUGGUGUAGCGGUGAAAUGCGCAGAUAUCAUUUGGAACGCCAAUGGUGAAAACAGGUCGCUGGGGCCGCGCUGACGCUGAGACACGAAAGCCAGGGGAGCGAACGGG
rnacentral:rRNA from 1 species